UAGGACAUAGUGUGUAGGUAGCAUUUAGAAUUUUGGAUUCUAAGGUAUAGGUUCAAUUCCUAUGGUCC
rnacentral:tRNA from 1 species